rnacentral:lncRNA from 1 species
GAGUUAAUGAGAUAAGCUAGAACUUAAUCCACGUGGAGCUUCAUAUGUGGAGGGCUUGGACACGAGUAAAUGUUGUAAGUGACAAGAUGCUUUAUUUCUUAAGCCCUUUAAGAACACUAAUGUGUACAACAGAUAUAUUCCAUGUAGAGAUAGAAUGCAAACAAGGAAACUGGAGCACCUUGGAUUUUUUUUUUGCAACUGAACACCUUACAUGGCAUCUAACUAUAUGAACAGUGACACUUUUUUUUUUCCUCAAGAUGGCAAACUUGACUUCCAGAUGUCAGAGGAAGAAGAUUCUUUCCUAAAUGUCAAAAGAUCUCUGAAAAAGCGACUGGUGAAACACAGCACUCCAGUGGACUCAAUGCUCUCCAGAACAAUGCCGUCUCUUACAGAUCUGACUUAUCAGUCAAUCAAGGAUCAAGAUGGCAGUAAGAGAGUUAACGUAUCCCCAGUGCAAAAAUCAGCUCUAAGCAGAUCAUUAGCUCAAGUGUCGCUAGCAAGUAUUGAAGCAUACAUCCCUCAUAAGUCUCCAAAAAGGCUUUCAACAGCGUUUGACUUGCAAGAUUCAAACAAGGAGAUAAACAAAAGUUCUCGGGUUGUAUUUUCUAGAAGAAGGCUUUCCACUGUGUUGGCCUCUAAUGAGUCAAAUGAAGAACCAAGUGAAAAGGCUAUCUCAAGUGUGGAAACUCAAGCUCCAACAAAUGCAUCUGAGAAGGUUGCAGUAACUCCCAGGAGUGGACCUUCAUGGCUGGUUACUGGAAUACCAGGGAUAAAAGAUGUCCAAAUAGUAAAAAAGAAAAAGAAGAAAAUUGAUAAAUCUAUUGUGAGAAAGAAACAAAGAGAAUGGGUGCUUCGUCAACUCAAAAACAUUGAGGAAGCAGCUGAGCAUGAGCUGACAAUUGAAGAAAUGUGACCAAAUAUCUUUGGAAUUAAUGCUGUUGCAUGGUACUUGUGUGAAUAACUGGUUCCAAUAAAUCACAUGCCUGGAUAAUCUGUAGUGCUUCC